rnacentral:rRNA from 1 species
UACGGGGGGGGCAAGCGUUGUUCGGAAUUACUGGGCGUAAAGGGCUCGUAGGCGGCCAUCUAAGUCGGACGUGAAAUCCCUCGGCUUAACCGGGGAACUGCGUCCGAUACUGGAGGGCUUGAGUGUGGGAGAGGGAUGCGGAAUUCCAGGUGUAGCGGUGAAAUGCGUAGAUAUCUGGAGGAACACCGGUGGCGAAGGCGGCAUCCUG